UAACCUACGAGGUCGCGUAAUCCGUAAUACGUGUCAGCCAGUCACCGGUACUUGCCACUCGCCACCAACUUGCCACGCGUUUAUAUACGUGCAUAUGUACACGCGAGGAAGACUUUAAAACAUCGAUAGUGAUACAUCUACCAGGGAGUAAACAUGACGGCGUUGGCUGUGCUGUAUAAAUUUUGGUCAGAGUACACGAAGAAUACACCCAAGAAACUCAAAAUUAUCGAUUCGUACUUACUGUACGUCUUUCUCACGGGUGUUAUCCAGUUUGUAUAUUGUUGUCUCGUCGGCACUUUCCCCUUCAACAGUUUUCUCAGCGGUUUCAUAUCCUGUGUGUCUUGCUUCAUUCUAGGAGUAUGCCUUCGAUUGCAAGUUAAUCCGCAAAACCGAAAUCAAUUUCACGAUAUAAGCCCAGAAAGAGGAUUCGCAGACUUCAUCUUUACACAUAUUAUUCUACAUAUCUUUAUCAUGAAUUUUAUUGGAUAAAGUCAUAUUUUCAACAAGAAAUCUUAUAACGAAAAUCCAUAUUCUCCUCGAAAAGGUCAAGUUUAGUCAUGUUUCACUGACAAUUCCGUAUACUUUGACUCAAGUCCGAGAAGUUGUACAAUGUCACAAGUGUGGAAUAGGUAUUACAUUGCUACAAUAGAGAGACGUAGGACACCCCAUGCUCAUAUUUACAAAGAUCUUGAAGAAAAGUUCGUUUUGUAAUAAUAAAGUUACGGCUUCUCGAGAGGGACUCUCGAAAGGAAAAGACUAUCCUUUAACUAGCCAGAUAUUAUGUUCUUUCAAAAACAAUAUAAUUUAAUAAAGCUCUCAUUUAUAUGAAAA